UACGUAGGCAGCAAACGUUGUUCGGAGUUACUGGGCGUAAAGAGUAUGUAGGCGGUCUGCCAAGUCUGGUGUGAAAUCUCCCGGCUUAACUGGGAGGGUGCGCCGGAAACUGGCGGGCUUGAGUGUGGGAGAGGGAAGCGGAAUUCCUGGUGUAGCGGUGAAAUGCGUAGAGAUGUGGAGGAACACCAGUGGCGAAGGCGACUCUUUGGCCUGUAACUGACGCUGAGGCGCGAAAGCGUGGGGAGCAAACAGG
rnacentral:rRNA from 1 species